rnacentral:lncRNA from 10 species
UGUCCUGGAAGAGAGCCGUCCUGGAAGGGAGUCGUCCUGGAAGGGACAACUGUGAAAGCUCCACGUGUCCCAGGAGCGCGUGCAGCUCCCUGGAAGGCCCAGGUCACAAGAUGGAAAGAAAACCCCAGCAGAGCUUGUGAAUCAGCUCAAACCACACCAUCGCCUCCACAGCUCCUGAAGCCCUCGUGGCUGCACCUGCUCGCCCACCCCGUGCUCCAGGCCCAUCUGACGGAGGAGGGCCUGGGCCGCUCACACCAUGUUCAACGUGGCCAGUGCCUGGUCAGCAAGUCUGUUUUCACGAAUGCUUGCUGGGAAAUGCAAGUGAGAUUUGGGUAUCCCGACCGCCUCCUGGAUGGGAUUGCUUUGUUUGACACAUGUUCAGAACUCAGGCUUAAACCACUGGACCCCUCAACGCGAGGCCGGACCAGCUCGGGGCCACCCGGGGCAGGAGCGUCCUGGGAACAGGACCCUGAGCCAACCAUACCCGAGGCUGCCUGACCCUGGCUUUGGACGGUGGGUUCGAAGGGAGUUCCUGGGGAGCAUGGGUGGUCCCUGGACACACUACAUAGCCAUGCUGGGUUCUCUCUGAGUGGCUUUCUCUGUCAGUUCAUCAUAUGUAUUUUAUGACACACGUAACGCAGUUGCUCCCACUAUUUCAUCAAUAACCAAAACCAGCACAAACGCUGGGGCCGCUUGUCUCAUCAGCACCUUCCCUGAUCUUUUUCUUUUGUUUUUUUGAGACAGAUUCUUGCCCUGUCACCCAGGCUGGAGUGCAAUGGCAUGAUCUCAGCUCACUGCAGCCUCCAUCUCCUGGAUUCAAGCGAUUCUCCUGCCUCAGCCUCCCGAGUAGCGGGGAUUACGGGCACACACCACCACGCCAGGCUAAUUUUUGUAUUUUUAGUAGAGAUGGGGGCUCACCAUUUUGGCCCAGCUGGUCUUGAACUCCUGACCUCAAAUGAUCCACCCGCCUCAGACUCCCAAAGUGCUGGGAUUACAGGCGUGAGCCACUACGCCUGGCCCACUUGAACUUUAAUUUUACUUCCAACUUCUCAUGGAAUGGGAUGAGGGCAACAUGUGUUUGAGCCAUUUGCUGGGAAGUAACAUUUCCUUCUUGAACUAAUCGUUUCAGAUAAAAUAGAUCCUAGAAAUCAGAAGCCGCCGCCGUGUGGGGGCCUGAGGGCUGCUGUAUCUCACGGAGAUGAGGCUUGUUCAGGAGGCAUCCCUGGCCUCUGCGGGGGGACGUGGCUCCCUGGGCCUGAGAUGGUACAUUCCUGGUCCCUUCCCCUUCCCCAGCCACCCACGCUGGCAGCCUGAGUCCUGGAGGCUGAGCUACUGCAGGAUGACCGAGUGCGGGAGGAACUGAACUAAUUCCCAUCCACCCAAGGUAGCCACAGUCCCGUGACAGCAGCACCUUCUCCCAACCUGAACACCGCCCUUCUCCCUCCUCCUGGCCACCAAAUCAGCGACUGCACCCAGCCCACGUGACAGCAGCACCUUCUCCCAACCCAAAUGCCACCCUUCUCCCUCCUCCUGGCCACCAAAUCAGCGACUGCACCCAGUCCUGUGACAGCAGCAGCUUCUCCCAACCCGAAUGCCACCCUUCUCCCUCCUCCUGGUCACUGAAUCAGCGACUGCACCCAGUCCUGUGACAGCAGCACCUUCUCCCAACCCAAAUGCCACCCUUCUACCUCCUCCUGGUCACUGAAUCAGCGACUGCACCCAGUCCUGUGACAGCAGCACCUUCUCCCAACCUGAACGCCACCCUUCUCCCUCCUCCUGGCCACCAAAUCAGUGACUGCACCCAGCCCACCUGACAGCAGCACCUUCUCCCAACCCAAAUGCCACCCUUCUCCCUCCUCCUGGUCAUCGAAUCAGCGACUGCACCCAGUCCUGUGACAGCAGCACCUUCUCCCAACCCAAAUGCCGCCCUUCUCCCUCCUCCUGGCCACCAAAUCAGCGACUGCACCCAGCCCACGUGACAGCAGCACCUUCUCCCAACCCAAAUGCCA